GUGCUCACUUCAGCAGUACAUAUACUAAGAUUGGAAUGAUAAAGAGAAGAAUAGCAUGGCCCCUGCCCAAGGAUGACAUGCAAAUUGUGAAGUGUUCUGUGUCUUU
rfam:Canis lupus familiaris chromosome 22, whole genome shotgun sequence.